AAAUUGUUCCUGUUGCUGGUUUGGUGCAUACAAUCCCACUAUAAGUAUUUUCUUACCAUAUAAGCCAAGUUCAAUCAUGACGUAUCUUCCUUGAGGAUCUGAUUCUACCAGACAAGCCUCCGAUUUUUAAUAUAGCCCUAGCCAUGAACUGGCCCACAAUAAAAGCUAAAGUAUGUACAUAAAUGGUUCAUAUUAAGGAACUUUAAUGAAAUGUACUCAGUUCCCUUAAUUCAUCUAUUCUUCCAGUUGUGAAAAAUGCUCAGAGAUGCAAUACAAUUAAAUGAAGAACUAAGAAAAUAGAUUAGAGAGUUUGUAUCAGGACUAUGCCAGAAUUAUUGUGUGACAGAUGCAAUAAUUAAAUCAAAGAAAGUAAGGAAAGUUUUCUAGAAUUGGACCUAGCUAGAAUGAUAUGAAAUUUCAAGUACAUUUUAAAAGCCUUCAUAUACUCUCAUUCUUUAUUUUUUCAAAAUUCAUUUGAUUCAUUUGAAACUAUGCUCUCAUCUUUAUAUUAUAUAAUAUUAAGAAAUUGUGCAGUACUACACAUUUUCUUGGGUUACACAUUAGAUUAAAGAAAAAUGUGGCUUGCUUAGUUUUGACUCAACAUCUGGUCAUUGGAAUGUCUAAAUCACAAUUUAUGGCUUAACACAAUGUGAAAAUCUUGCCAUUGAUGCUUACUUUAUGAACCAUUAUUUAAAACAAUGAUUUAGAAAGAUACAUAAACUCAAUCUCUGGAUUUUGUUUUAAUAGAGGGUAUUUGGACAGGCCUUCUAAACGGAGGAGGAAAUCCUGAACAUAGUCAGGUACCGAGUUUUAUAGAAUUUACAGGUUAAGACCAACACAUUCAAUUGCACUUAGAAACUUAUUUGCAGCCAAUGCAGUUACUGCCAAACAAAUGUCAUAUGGUAAUAAUGACUCUGCUUUGCCAGUACAUAGGUUGCUGAAGUUUGGACCAACUGCAGUUCCUAGUUAGUCAUUAGAGGUAGAAGCUUUAAUAUGAACUCAUACUGUGCUUAAUCAGAAUCACAUUUUGUCUACCUCCACCAGUGCUCCAUGGGUCACUUCUGCCACUUCUGCUGACAGUCCUCAGUAAACCAGACAAUGCCCAUAACUUUGGCUAAUACAGUAGGAAAAUGCAUGAGAAUUAUUAUGUCAAGUAACCUGCUGCUUUCAAAUUCCAGCCAGAUGCUCAAUACGCUGCCUGUCAGGAUCAUUGGGAAACUUUCCAAGCAGCCAUUUAAUGCCUUUCUAAUAGGCUCCUGCACUCUGGACUGUCCUAAUAGAUUGCUCAAACUGGGGAGGGAAUGGCAAGAACAAAUUUAGUCAGGAUCAGGAAGUAAUUUGAUACAACAAAGGGCUCAGUCUAAUAUCUUCUAUAUCAGAGCAUACACUAUCUACUCCAAAGUAAAGGCUAGGCCUAAAUAAAUCUUCUUGUAUGCCUCAGGUCAGAUAUUUAAUUGGGAUAAUCCUGUAAUUGUCAUGAGGUAAUGAACUCCUGAGCUUUCCUGGAAUUCAGAGCAUGGAGAUUAAAGUUUUACAGUAUAAGUAACUAGUAGCCUCAGAUUGAUUUCAUAUAAAGCAAUGAUUUCCCCCCCCCCCACUUUUCUUUACUCUGCUGGUUUCAAUCUUGCCUACUAGGUGGGCCGCAGUCAAAUUACUCCUGAGGAAAAGUGGUCUUCAGCAGAAGAAAUCUUACCUACUCUUGCUGUAGGUAGUUCAGCAGGUUAUAUGAAAACUUAGUUCCAUAGCUACUUUUCUUCCAAGAUAAAAAUAAAUAGGUUAAACAAGUUUGUCUACAUUGUUUUGGGGCAUUGAUUUUUAUCUUACAUAUGAUAUUAAACAUACAUUCUAAGAUGUGACUGUCUUCCAGUUCCUCACCACUUGAUAAUAGUGUAGUUAUGUGGCAAAGCUGAUAAGGAUCUCGUACUUUUCCAUUGUACUAAGUAAUAGCAAAAUCUUCUAAAAAUCCACUCUGUAUUCAGUUUUAGAUAAGCCUGUCAGGCCCCAUUUGUUCCUCGCACAUUCUGUCUUAAUUUAAAGCUUUCAGAUGCUUCACUUGAAGAAUGUUCUUUGUUAUUUUUCUAUUUUUUCCCACUCAACAAUUUAAUUUCUUUUUCUUCUCCCUUUCUGUACUUUGUGUAAGCCCCUUUAGGAAAGGAGUAACUGAACAGGGAGACAAGAUAACAAUCUGAAAAGAAGGUUGCACUUUUAAGUCUUUAGGAUGUGUGGAGAACGGAUCACAUUUUAGGUCAUAUCUGUACAGCAAUAUUGAAAAUUCAAAAGGAUUCGCCAACUUUUAAGCACGUUGUAUUUAGUGAAAAAUAUAAAGAAAAGACAGUAAGAUGAUUGAGAAGUUACCUACUGGGAAAGUUCAAUCUCUGUGAUAGGAGCUGACACUAUGGUCAACUGAGAAGACAACUGGGAGUUCCAAUAAUAAAAAACAGAGAGAACAAAGAUCCAGCAUAUUGACUAUCAGUCUGUCUGACCUCAAUACCUGGAAAGAUUACAGAGUGAAUAAUAAAGAGAUUUGUAUGUAAAAA